rnacentral:rRNA from 1 species
UACGGAAGGUCCGGGCGUUAUCCGGAUUUAUUGGGUUUAAAGGGAGCGUAGGCCGUUUGGUAAGCGUGUUGUGAAAUGUCGGGGCUCAACCUGGGCAUUGCAGCGCGAACUGCCAGACUUGAGUGCGCAGGAAGUAGGCGGAAUUCGUCGUGUAGCGGUGAAAUGCUUAGAUAUGACGAAGAACUCCGAUUGCGAAGGCAGUCUGCUGUAGCGCAACUGACGCUGAAGCUCGAAAGCGUGGGUAUCGAACAGG